CUCCCUGUGACCCGCGGACGUCACGCCGCCCAACCGCCCGCCCCUCCGCUCAACGCCAACUUGGGCACCCGGGACCAGCCUUCCCUCCUCGCCCGCUCACUCGAGCUCAGAGAACUCCAAAAGGAAAAGGGACUUCACUCACCCAGACGGUGAAGGCGGUGGCGGCGACGGCAGCAACAGCAAAAACAACGACUCCUCCCCAGGCAGGUCAAGGCCACGUGAGCUGUGGAAGCCCCUUCCCUUCUCUGCGGCAACCACGUGCAGAGCUGCUUCUCAGCUACGUCAGGCCCAGGUGUUUUCAGGUGAUUUCGGGGCUUUUAACCUCAGGGUUAGAAAGCUUCAAUUACAAAACACCAGCUGGAGGUUUAGACCUGGGGAGGAGAAGGCGGUGAAGACUUUCGCCUGUGGACACUCGAUAACUACUUUUUACCUGGCAGAACGCAUGCCUGUCUGGACUUUUUAAAGCGGCCCAAAGCUCUGGUUCAGGAUAGACCGGGCCAAUGACAGAAAUUUAAAAAAAAAGGAGAGAAAACUUAGGCCAUAACAUCGAAAAGGAACUGCAAACCGAUCACGGCGCCAGACUCUACGCCUCUUUUGUCGUCGGAAUAGAAGAAAGAGCCCAAAGGCCUCGUUAAUAAAACAGAUGAGUGGGCUCAGGACUGCCUGGAUGUUUUGGGGGAUCCCUGGACUUGCCGUCUGGGGCGGGGGAAACAGGGGUACAGAUGGGCGAGGUGGAAGGUAUCUUUUUUGACCAGUUAUGUCUCAUCAUAAAGGUGUGAGCCUUCCUUUCCCUUCCC